rnacentral:lncRNA from 1 species
UCGAUGUGGUCGAGAACUCCCAAUCUGGCCAACUGACGCUGAGACUCCGCUGUCGUCGCCGCUUGCAUACGAUCUUCGUUACACGCUGCUGCCUUCGAUUACUUCUGUUACGAACAGAACUUUCGCCGUCUCAUCGAUCUUGUCCGGCCGCUCGACCACCGAUCAACUCGACAAAUUCUGCUGCACCUCUAGAUCAACAUCACGG